rnacentral:rRNA from 1 species
UCUACUAUAUAGAGGUCCCCCUGUUGUAAUAUAGGGCGCAAGAAUUCUGUACCCCCACUGGGAUACCGCGGCAUCGGUAACUCAAGAGGAUGACCGGGGCCCGCACAAGGGAGAACAUGUGUUAAUCGAUGUACGCGAGAACAUACCCGGGCUGGACUGCAGGAGAACGAUCAGAGAUGAUGGGUCCUCGGGACUCCUGUGGAGGUGCUGCAUGGUGUCGUCAGCUCGUGCCGUGAGGUGUCGGCUUAAGUGCCAUAACGAGCGCAACCCUUUUCAUUAGUUGCCAUCAGGUAAUGCUGGGCACUCUGGUGAUACUGCCACCGUAAGGUGUGAGGAAGGUGGGGAUGACGUCAAAUCAGCACGGCCCUUACGUCCGGGCUGACACACGUGUUACAAUGGGGAGUACAGAGCGUCGGUGUAUGGCAAUAUGCAAACUUUCUUUUAAGCUCUCCUCAGUUCGGAUUGGGGUCUGCAACCCGACCCCAUGAAGCUGGAUUCGCUAGUAAUCGCGCAUCAGCCAUGGCGCGGUGAAUACGUUCCCGGGCCUUGUACACACCGCCCGUCAAGCCAUGAAAGCCGGGGGCGCUUGAAGUCCGUGACCGCGAGGGUCGGCCUAGGGUGAAACCGUGAUGGGGCU